UGUCGAUACAGAAAGAGAGGAACCUAGCAAUAGAAAGAGAAUGAGAGAAAACGAACCAGAUGCUGCUGAUUCUGAUCUGCCCAACCUAUCCCAAAUCAAUUCUAGUUUCCAAUCUUCGGAAUCAACCCCCAUGAUUACGAUGGAAAUGAAUCACACAGAUGUACUGAGAUCUUCUUCUAAUCAACUAGUCGAGGGUGAUGUCGAGAUGCGCGAUGGAGUUUUGGAUACACAUGCUCUGGAAAAUCUGAAUCAGUGAAUUCAUGGGAGAACUGCAAACAUGGAAACUACCAGGCCUGCAAGACAGUCUCUGGACUAGCAAAGAGUGCUGAAGAAGCGGAAAGUCUGGCCAUUUUGGAAGCCGCUAACUGGGCAAUCAACAAAGACAUAGCGGAAGUUUGCAUUUACAGUGAUGCAAUGUCACCUAUUUCUUAUAUAAUGAAUAAAACUAACCAGACUAGCUGGUUAAGCAGGUCUAUUUUAGAUGAUUGUCUUCAUUUGUCAAACAAUUUCAGUUUUUUCAGAGUCCAGCAUUUUAAAAGAACUUUAUCUUGUUUACCAAUGGCUGAUAAAGCAACCAAGUUUGAGUCUGAUGGGGAAUGGACAGCCAUUAUUCCCACUUUCCUUCAAACUGUGUAAGCUUGUUAUCCUUCUAUAAUAUAUCUUUUUUUCUAUCAAAAAAAA